UACGAAGGGGGCUAGCGUUGCUCGGAAUCACUGGGCGUAAAGGGUGCGUAGGUGGGCAGGUAAGUCAGUGGUGAAAUCUCCGGGCUUAACUCGGAAACUGCCAUUGAUACUAUCUGUCUUGAAUACCGUGGAGGUUAGCGGAAUAUGUCAUGUAGCGGUGAAAUGCUUAGAUAUGACAUAGAACACCAAUUGCGAAGGCAGCUGGCUACACGAAUAUUGACACUGAUGCACGAAAGCGUGGGGAUCAAACAGG
rnacentral:rRNA from 1 species